rnacentral:lncRNA from 1 species
GUCCUGCCAACAAAUAAAAUGUAUUUGGUAAACUUGCAAAGCUUCACUAAACAUAUUGGUGCUAAUUGCUAUUGCAACAUCACUAACAUCCUAAAACAAUACAUUUCAUGUUUUCAACCAAAAAUGUCACUGGAAAGAUGAAAAGAAGAAUAAUUAGAAUUUAGAUGUUAAAAGUAUAAACAAAAGGGUAUAUGUGUCUGUUUGGCAUUAUUGUUUAAAUUGAUGUUGAGAAACGAUUUCAAAAAUAUUUAUUAAGACACUUUAAAUUUUAAUGUUCAUUUGAAUUUGACAUAUUUUAGUUAUAAAAUCUACAAAACAGCAACAUAAUUUUUUUUAAACUCCUUUUUUCCAAACGCCUAAAAAAGGUGCUUUACAAAAAGCAAUGUCAAACCAGCUUUUUAGCCUUCUAAUCACAAUCCCAAGUAAAAUCAUGUGCAGUGUUAAGCAAAGGCCACCAUUUAAGUUUUAGCUGUGAGAUUAUAAUAUGGAGCAAUUAGCACACAACUACAUUUGCAGAUCACUAAACACCAAACAAUUCACAAAUUUGAAGGUUUCUACCAGCAAAUUAGCACAGCCACAUACCUGAAUGGUGUGGCGCAGAGGGACCAGGAGGAUAACCGGCUGGUGGAUAACCACUAGGAGGAUAACCGGCUGGUGGAUAACCACCUGGUGGAUGACCACCUGGUGGAUGACCACCUGGUGGAUAACCACCUGGUGGGUAACCACCAGGUGGGUAACCACCAGGUGGGUAACCACCAGGUGGGUAACCACCAGGUGGGUAACCACCAGGUGGGUAACCACCAGGUGGGUAACCACCUUGAGGAUAACCUGCUGGAGGGUAUCCCUGUGGAGGGUAUGAUCCAGGUGGGUAUUGUCCUGGAGGGUAUCCAGGGACACCGUGACCAUACCCAUGGCCAUGACCAAAAAGACCCUUAUCAUGGUCAUCAUGUUUGUCCUUGUCUUUACCACCUCCCAUGUUACUGAGUUAUAA